GAUAAACUUGAGAAAAAUAAAAAUAAAAAAGAAUGGUUAGGAUUAGGCGUGAGAGAGAGUGAUACAUAUAUAUAUAUGUAUAUGUAGAGGAGGAGUUGUAGUUAACGUGUCGUAGGGCGCAAAACCCCACCCACCGAUCGAAACGCCAGUGAAUAGGACUGCUCCCAGCCCCACCAUUUCCAUUUCAUCUCAAUCUCCCUUCGCCACACGUGUCCUCUUCUUCCAUAUACCGUAAUAACUCUACUCCAAACUUCCCCGACUCUUACUCAAAUCUUCCUCAAUCUCUCUCUCUCUCUCUCUCUACAUAUAUAUAUAUAUAUAUAUAUCACACAGACACCUCUCUAUACGCAUUUAUGCAUUUCUAGCUUCACUUUGUCUUCUUGGAUAUAUAUAUACAUAUAGUAGGUGUGAUGAUGAGAAUGAAUGGUGUUGAGAAUAGCGGAUUGUUGUCGUUGCCGGAAUACUCCGGGAGAGCGAUGAUGGAUGGGUCGUCGGAGGUGGAUCAGAAAUGGAAAGGGUGUAGUAGUUAUAAGUUGCAGGCGCAUAGUCAGAUUAUGAGAAUCAGAGCAGAGGAUUCACACGUGGGAGAAGAUAAAUUCGGGGUUGCGCAUUUCAUGCUUUUCUCCAGACCCAUGUUGCCAGCUUCCCCUCUUAGCGGCAAGACUGCUCACUGAAUCAUUCCUUACAUCCAGGAGGGCAUUAGAUUCCGAUAUAUCAGAAUUGAGAAAAGACAAGUCCAAGGGGGAAGCGUCGUCGUUGUGGCUUUGGGGUGUCUUCCUUAAAGAGUUCAACUUCGUCCGUGCCGUGUGCACAACUGAUGCAUAUAUGUACAGAUCCAGUAGGUACCAUAGAAUAGCUAAUAGCUUAGCAUAGACCAAAAACACUACUGAUAAUAAAAAAACUAAAGUCUUUUACAACUUGUACACGAGCGUCUAUGUCUUGUCUGUAUGCAUCUCAAAUUCAGAAACACGCUACCUCUCCAACAUACAGAUUAAUACAAUCUCAAAAAGCAGUGACUUUGUGGUAACAACCAUCAUCAUUAUGAUAACCGCUACCUCAUUUCGGAUUUCCUCA